GCCAGGCAUGGUGGCAUAUGCCUGUAAUCCCAGUGGCUUUGGAGGCUGAGGCAGGAGGAUCGUGAGUUCAAAGCCAGCCUCAGCAAUUUAGGAAGGCCCUAAGCAACUCAGUGAGACCCUGUCUCUA
rnacentral:sRNA from 1 species